CUAGGGAAAAGAAAUUAGAAAUUGUAGACUUGUACAAAAGAUGUGGGAAUCAGUAAUGCAUGCAAGGAGUAUAAUUUGAACGCUACAAUCUUGGUGUUGAACAGUUUUUUGUUUUUGUUGGAUUUAACAUCGCACCGACACAAUUAUAGGUCAUAUGGCGACUUUCCAGCUUUGAUGGUGGAGGAAGACCCCAUGUGCACCUCCGUGCAUUAUUUCAUCACGAGCUGGCACCUGGGUAGAACCACCGACUUUCCGUAAGCCAGCUGGAUGGCUUCCUCACAUGGAGAAUCCAAUGCCCCGAGAGGCUCGAACCCACAUCGAUGAGGGGCAAGUGAUUUCAAAUCAGCGACCUUAACCACUCGGGCAUGGAGGCCCUAACUGGUGUUGAACAGUGAUUGAAUGGUCCGAGAGAUUGAACAUUAUUUACAAUAGAAUACUGUAUGCAAUAAAAGGAAAUAGUUCACUGCGCAUGUCCACUGUCAAUUUUCUAAAUACAUGUAGACAUAGUAUUAGAGCCGUUUUACGCAAUCGAAUACUGCCGGAAGUAGAACAUUUAUGUCAACACCGGUUUCGUAUUUCACGUGAAAACAGCUGAAAACUGAGAGGUUAUCAACAAAUUAUUAAGUUCCAUGGGGAUUUUUCAUGCAUUUAAACGACAGAAGUACAAGCCAACAAAUGACACAUUACAGUGGCUGCAGAAGCUUGAAAAGUUACUUAGAGCAGGGGCAGUCAGAACAAUGGGAUAAUGCUUCUAAUAGGUGUCCUACAUGUCUAAUCAGGUUGACAGAAGUGGAAGAUGGUCUAGUGGUACAAUGAUGUACGGAUGAAAAUCUUUAAUAAGUUUAACAUGUAGAAGGAAAUGUAAUGCCAGUUAUUAAAAUUACAUUCCCCUAAACAUUUAACAGAUACACAGUGUAAAUGUAAUUAAAAUGAUUUUAUGUAAGUUUCAUGUAGGAUUGUACAGCAACCAUUUUGAAUUAAGAACUUUUGAUUUAGGUAAAGAUAUCUAUUCAGACUUCUUAAAUCUUAGCCCUUCAGAUGAUACAGGGAUAAAAGGUCUACUAUUGCCAGCCACUGUCCAUGUUUCAAAGUUUUUAAACACACAAUAGCAAUAACCAUUUUGUUAAAAUAUCUUGUUAAUGCAAUGUUUUCUUGAUAUCUGUCACUUGAUGUUUUCAAUGGAUAAGAGUCCUAAUUUAAUGUAAAGUCUGUAUUUUUCAGUAAUUGAAGUACAAAAUUUGUAGGAAGUUGUUUCUUUAUUUCAGUGUAAAAUGUUCUGUGGAUUCAUAUGAUGAGAAUGCCAGUGUUGAUCUGUAUGGUUUAAUUAAACACAGAUAUUGAUACCUUCAGAUAUACCUGUGAAAUCUUCAGUGUCACCAUUCAGCUAUAGUUCAAGAUCCGUGUCUGAAACUUGCACAGUUUAGUAUAGAGGAGCCUACUGGAUCAAUUUUGUUACAUAUUUACUGUUAUUGUAGGACACACAUGUAGAGAGCAGCAAGUCCUGUACAGCCGUGCAUGUAAAUGUGAUUCAGAAACUCUGAGAAUUAUGUAAACAUUACACUGUUAUAAUUUUCAAAAUACUAUGUCUUGUAGUGUAUCAAUACUGUUUUGUCUCAGUUUAUAGCACAGAUAAUCAAAUCACAAAUCAAACUUAAGAUCAUAGUGAUCAGUAUUAUUAAAAUCACUGAUUAUUUAUAUGGUGACAAAAAUUAAUUUCAUGCAAUACCACAGUAAAACGUUUGAUAAUUUUUGCUUUUGAAGGUGUAAGUUUAAGGUUAGCAUAAAUUGUUUUUCUCCUUCAUAAAUCUAAAAAGUGAUUAGUCAUUAUAAUUGCAAUAUCAUUUUAGUAUGACAAAGUUUAUUUAUAUUUAACUAAAACAGCAGUGUAAAUUUUUAAACUACUCAAUGCAUUUUCUUCAGUCUUAAAACAUUUGUUUAUCAUAAGUAUCAUGGUCAAUAACUCCUCCAUAUUACUUGUGUUUUGUCCUUUUUAAUUUCACUGAAGAAUAGGUAGAGGUAUUGCACAUCCAUUUUUUAGCAUCCCGAUUUUGUAAAGUAUUGUAUGUAAGCUUUUGUCUCAGAAUUAUGUUUCAUCCAAAGGUGGGGAGACGUAUUGUUUUUGCCUUCUCCUCCGUCUUUCCGCAUUAAGCCUGUCCAGCUUUUACAGGACAAGCUGCUGGCCAGAUUUCGAUGAAACUACACAGGACUGAUCAUUACCAAGCAUAGAGUUGUGCAUAUCGCUUGCAUGUUCCAUUUCGCUGCACUAAAUUGCAGCCAGAGCUAAAAAAAGAAAAAACUUGUCGGCUUUCACAGGUCAAACUACUUAACAGAUUUUGAUGAAACUUCAAAGGAGUGAUCAGUACCAAACAUAUUUGUGCAUAUUGCUGACACUUUCAUUUUGGUGCACAAAAUAGCCGCCAUAGCUAAAGGUAUACAAAGAUUGGAUACAUGUUUUGUCAUAAAAACACCUAAAGCACCUUCUAGUUUGCUAAUGAAAAAUGUAUCAAACUUCUUACACUUGCAAAAUGUAAUAAUUUGACAUUAAAUGCACUGGCCCCUUAACUGCAUUUGGCAUUUUUACAAAAUUAUUGCCCUUUUCUUACCAUAGAAAUAUUUGGUGUAUUAGUCUUCACGAAACCUUGCAGAACAAUUUCCUUAUGUUCCCAGUGUCAACUUUGAUAGUGACAUGUUUACUUUAGAAACACUGCAGUAAUGUAACCACUGUACUAGUCAAACGUUUCGUAUUUCAGUUUUUUAUCACAUUACAGGCUACUGGUUUUUAUCAGCCUUCAUAAAACUUUCAUAUUUCAAAAAAUGUUGUACUUUGAUUUGAACUGGCAUUAUUCAAACAUUAUGAAGUAGUACUAUAAGGCAAUAUUUGACCUCUUGCCCAGUACUUUUUGAUUUUAUCUGUAACUAUGAAAUUGCCUUUUCCUAGAAACUGGUUGGCUGUUUUUUGGUGAACUUAUGUUUUUAAUGAAUUGUAGUUAUGAUCUCAUGAAAAUGUCUAUUUUUAUAAAAUUUAUAAUUUUUACUGUCAACAAAGUGCAAUACCACAUAUUUAUCACUUUCAUUAACAUACUUGUACUAUAUUCAUUAAACAUUAUAUAAAUCAUUAUAUUUCAUAUGAACAGAAUUAAAUAAAUAUUUAAGAACA